rnacentral:rRNA from 1 species
UACGUAGGGUGCGAGCGUUGUCCGGAAUUAUUGGGCGUAAAGGGCUCGUAGGCGGUUUGUCGCGUCGAAUGUGAAACCCGGGGCUCAACUCCGGGCCUGCAUUCGAUACGGGCAGACUAGAGUUCGGUAGGGGAGUCUGGAAUUCCUGGUGGUAGCGGUGAAAUGCGCAGAUAUCAGGAGGAACACCGGUGGCGAAGGCGGGUCUCUGGGCCGAAAUUGACGCUGAGGAGCGAAAGCGUGGGAGCAAACAGG